UUCAGGAUCAGAGUCUGCAUCCCCACCAUGACCUGGGCUCCUCUCCUCCUCACCCUCCUCACUCCCUACACAGUGUCUGUGGCCCAGGCAGGGCUGACUCAGCCAUCCUCAGUGACCAAGUCCCUGCGACAGACAGCGACCCUCACCUGCACCGGAAACAGCAACAAUGUUGGCAAUCAGGGAGCAGCUUGGCUGCAGCAACUCCCAGGCCAAGCUCCCAAACUCCUGACCUACAGGAAUAACAACCGGCCCUCAGGGGUGUCCGAGAGAUUCUCGAGCUCCAGGUCAGGCAGCGUGUCCUCCUUGAGCAUCUCUGAGCUCAAGCCUGAGGAUGAGGCUGAUUAUUACUGCUCAGCGUGGGACAGCAGCUUGAAUGCUUGCACAGUGCUUCAGGCCUGUGGGGAAGUGAGACAAACACUUGCUGUCUUUCCUGAAAUGGGGCUUCCCUGA